rnacentral:lncRNA from 1 species
AAGCAUCAGGUGAGGGAAAGAAGCAGCAAUGAUAAGAUAUCAGGUUAUGGGGAUUACAAAGCCUGUGGAGAGACACAACAUGGCAGGAAUGACCAGGGGCUUCUCACUUUGUACCACAGAUCUGAAGACAGAAAGUUUCUAAAGGCUUCCAUUUACACAGAUAUUGAAAAGAGGACGUGGGUAGACAAUGUCCUUCACUCAAUGUUGACAGAGAAACACAGAAACCAACAACCAUGGGAAACUGAAGGAAAGGAUAGCUCCACUUUGUCUCUGAUCCCCUUUCAGUUCCCCAAGCAGAGGAGUCAGGACUUGAGAAGAGACAGAAAUGAUGUCUAAUGCAAAGACAGACUCCCACCCCUGAAUUGAGAGAGACGAAGAGAAUAAAGGCAUCAGAAGAGACCUAUGCACAAACGUAAGUGUGAACUU